rnacentral:tRNA from 1 species
UGGCCGAAUGGUUAAGCUGUUCGCUUAGUAAGCGAAAGAUCAUGGGUUCGAUUCCCAU